rnacentral:lncRNA from 1 species
GAGGUGGUAGUGGUGGGCGGCGGCAAGAGGGAAGGAGGAGGAGGAGGAGGGUGCUGUACAUUAAUUAAUUUGGGAUUUGGGACAGAGAAAUUAACUGUAAUGAAUUAGUCAUCAAAUCUGCAAGAAUCGUUGCGGCCCUUUUGCUCUCGGCGUCGGCCAAGCGGCGGAGGAGGAGGACGACGACGAGAGCGGCGACUCGCGGGCCGUUUUUUUUUAGUGCGAAUGAGGCGAGGCUUCUUGGGGGCGGAGGUGGAGGCGGAGGAGCCGGCGCCGAGGUUGGUGGU